AAGCGCACCUAACAGUCAAUAGAACUGCGUUGCUUUCGUCUCUCAACGGAAGGUCUCUCUUUGAAUCUUUUGCAACUUCAAGGUCUGCUUUCUUUUUUUAUAUAUAUUCUGCUUUAUACUAAUUUUAUGAUUAGAAUAGUGAAAAUUGACUACUCUGGUUAGUUUUGUGGGAUGCAGAGGAAGUACAAAAUGAAAAAAGGCAAAAGUUCUUAUUGGCAGUUUCUGAACUUCAAGGUUUUCUUACUUUCUUUCUUUUCCAUAUGUUCUGCUUAUUAGAAGUUUAUCAUUUAAAGAUAGUGAAUGUUGACUAUUUUAUUUGGAUUAUUUAGAUGCAGAUGAAGCGUAAAAUAAAAAGACGCAUCGCAAUGAGAAUGAUUGACAGUAAUGAGGCAAGUCAUGAAGUGAUGAGCUUGACACAAGACACUCGCUGUAUUUUCUUUUCCUUUUUCGUUUUUUGUGGUUGACUCAUUUCAUAUUGGUUUAAAUUGGCUGUUUUUUCGAUAUAAUAAAAAAGAAGAAACUUUAUUUUCUGCAUUUGACGUUUAGUGCGAAGAUCGAUGCUAUAAUAAACUCAUUUUGUAAUGUUUCUUGGAUUUUAACAAAUUAAACUCU
rnacentral:lncRNA from 1 species